GCCUACCAAGGCGACGAUGGGUAGCCGGCCUGAGAGGGUGAACGGCCACACUGGGACUGAGAUACGGCCCAGACUCCUACGGGAGGCAGCAGUGAGGAAUAUUGCGCAAUGGGCGAAAGCCUGACGCAGCAACGCCGCGUGGAUGAUGAAGCUCUAAGGAGUGUAAAGUCCUGUUAGAAGGGAAGAACAACCAAUAUUUAAAUAAAAUAUUGGUUUGACGGUACCUUCAGAGAAAGCCCCGGCUAACUCCGUGCCAGCAGCCGCGGUAAUACGGGGGGGGCAAGCGUUGUCCGGAAUCAUUGGGCGUAAAGGGCGCGUAGGCGGAAUGGUAAGUUAGGGGUGAAACCCAUAGGCUUAACUUAUGGCCUGCCUUUAAAACUGCCAUUCUUGAGUGUGGUAGAGGGAAGCGGAAUUCCUGGUGUAGCGGUGAAAUGCGUAGAUAUCAGGAAGAACACCGGUAGCGAAGGCGGCUUCCUGGACCACAACUGACGCUGAGGCGCGAAAGCGUGGGGAGCAAACAGGAUUAGAUACCCUGGUAGUCCACGCUGUAAACGAUGGGCACUAGGUGUUGGUUCGCCUAAAGCGGAUCAGUGCCGCAGCAAACGCAUUAAGUGCCCCGCCUGGGGAGUACGAUCGCAAGGUUGAAACUCAAAGGAAUUGACGGGGGCCCGCACAAGCGGUGGAGCAUGUGGUUUAAUUCGAUGCAACGCGAAGAACCUUACCUGGCUUGAAGUGCAGCCGAAAUUCGUUGAAAGGCGAACCUCCUUCGGGACGGCUGUAGAGGUGCUGCAUGGCUGUCGUCAGCUCGUGCCGUGAGGUGUUGGGUUAAGUCCCGCAACGAGCGCAACCCUGGUCCUUAGUUGCCAUCAGGUUAUGCUGGGAACUCUAAGGAGACUGCCCCGAAUAACGGGGAGGAAGGUGGGGAUGACGUCAAGUCCUCAUGGCCCUUACGUCCAGGGCUACACACGUGCUACAAUGGCCGGUACAACGGGACGCAAUAUCGCAAGAUGGAGCAAAUCCCUUAAAACCGGUCUCAGUUCGGAUUGCAGUCUGCAACUCGACUGCAUGAAGUCGGAAUCGCUAGUAAUCGCGGAUCAGCACGCCGCGGUGAAUACGUUCCCGGGCCUUGUACACACCGCCCGUCACGCCAUGGAAGUCGGUAGCACCCGAAGCCGGUGGCCUAACCUUCGGGAAGGAACCGUCGAAGGUGAGAUCGAUGACUGGGGCGAAGUC
rnacentral:rRNA from 1 species